CCUUCUCAAGAUGGCGCUGCACUCAAUGCGGAAAGCGCGUGAGCGCUGGAGCUUCAUCCGGGCACUUCAUAAGGGAUCCGCAGCUGCUCCCGCUCUCCAGAAAGACAGCAAGAAGCGAGUAUUUUCCGGCAUUCAACCUACAGGAAUCCUCCACCUGGGCAAUUACCUGGGAGCCAUUGAGAGCUGGGUGAGGUUACAGGAUGAAUAUGACUCUGUAUUAUACAGCAUUGUUGACCUCCACUCCAUUACUGUCCCCCAAGACCCAGCUGUCCUUCGGCAGAGCAUCCUGGACAUGACUGCUGUUCUUCUUGCCUGUGGCAUAAACCCGGAAAAAAGCAUCCUUUUCCAACAAUCUCAGGUGUCUGAACACACACAAUUAAGUUGGAUCCUUUCCUGCAUGGUCAGACUACCUCGAUUACAACAUUUACAUCAGUGGAAGGUCCACACACGUUCCUGUUGGGGAGGAUCAAGUCCAGCACAUGGAACUAGUUCAGGAUCUAGCACAAGGUUUCAACAAGAAGUAUGGGGAGUUCUUUCCAGUGCCAGAGUCCAUUCUCACAUCCAUGAAGAAGGUAAAAUCCCUCCGUGAUCCUUCUGCCAAAAUGUCGAAAUCAGACCCUG
rnacentral:sRNA from 1 species